AAAUAAUGGAAUUGGAAAUGGAAACGGGGAAACAGAAAUGGGAUGAAUCAGGUUGAAAUGGAACGAAUUAAAGGGGACAGACGAGUUGUCCUCCUAUUUUGUAAUUUUUCAACCCAUUAGCAAAAUGACUAAAAUGAGAAGUAAAUCAAUAAUUCAACCAUGUAUGCUAGAUAUCAAGUGAAUAGACAGCUAAAAUAGCAUUUUUUGAAAUCCUUUAUAUAGAGUGAGCCUUUAGAAACUCCCUUUUGUGCUGUGAGAAUCUUUUCAGAUGUCCAAAGCCACGUAAUCAAAUGCUGCAACAAGGGCUCCUACAAAGCAGGUUUUUUAUCCUUCAAAAGCAUUCAUUCCCUGCCCUAAAGACAAACCAAUUUGCAGCACAAUAUCAAAGUUUCUCCAGCUUUGGUGUUACAAAAUGGUGAAACGUCCUGUAUCUUCCCGACAUGCCUGUAUUCCCUUGUUUCAAAUGCAUUUCAAAGUGAAUGAAUUAUGAAUCACCAUAGAUGAAACAGUAAAUAACAGAUUGUUCUUGAAAUUCUGAUACGUAAUGGGUGAUACAUUAUUUAAACCAUGUCAGAAAUUUGUGGCGCACUUGGUAAUGUCAGAAAUUUGUGGUGCACUUGGUAAAGUAUGAAGAUUGCAAGAAAUUUACUUCCAGGCAUAACUUUCUUUUGUGGAUUCUAACCCAUGUAUUUUGAGUGUCCUGGUUUUGCUAUCUUUGGUACUUGAAUUGUAAACUCGUGUCUUGUUUCAGGAGGUCUCAUCAGCCAUUGGUU
rnacentral:misc_RNA from 1 species